AACCCUGUCCUUAGUUACCAGCACGUUAUGGUGGGCGACUCUAAGGAGACUGCCGGUGACAAACCGGAGGAAGGUGGGGAGUGACGUCAAGUCAUCAUGGCCCUUACGGCCUGGGCUACACACGUGCUACAAUGGUCGGUACAAAGGGUUGCCAAGCCGCGAGGUGGAGCUAAUCCCAUAAAACCGAUCGUAGUCCGGAUCGCAGUCUGCAACUCGACUGCGUGAAGUCGGAAUCGCUAGUAAUCGUGAAUCAGAAUGUCACGGUGAAUACGUUCCCGGGCCUU
rnacentral:rRNA from 1 species